rnacentral:rRNA from 1 species
GGUUGCGAUCAUUCCAGCACUAAUGCACCGGAUCCCAUCAGAACUCCGCAGUUAAGCGUGCUUGGGCGAGAGUAGUACUAGGAUGGGUGACCCCCUGGGAAGUCCUCGUGUUGCAACCC